rnacentral:rRNA from 1 species
UACGUAGGGUGCGAGCGUUAUUCGGAAUUACUGGGCGUAAAGCGUGCGCAGGCGGUGAUGUAAGUCCGAUGUGAAAUCCCCGGGCUUAACCUGGGAACUGCAUUGGUGACUGCAUUGCUGGAGUAUGGCAGAGGGGGGUGGAAUUCCACGUGUAGCAGUGAAAUGCGUAGAGAUGUGGAGGAACACCGAUGGCGAAGGCAGCCCCCUGGGCCAAUACUGACGCUCAUGCACGAAAGCGUGGGGAGCAAACAGG